AAACAUAUUUUUGAACGUGUGAACAUGUUUAUUUUUUGGAUGGUUCGAAACAUUUUUUUUAAAAUUACGUAGAAAUAUUUCAACAUUGUCUAUUUGUUUUAGAACAUAUCACAAACAUUGUUUCAAAGUGCAAACCAGACUUCAAAUAUUUCAACAUUGUCUAUUUGUUUUAGAACAUAUCACAAACAUUGUUUCAAAGUGCAAACCAGACUUCAAAAACAAAACUAGAAAGCAAUCUAGUCCGACACAGACUUUAGCACUUGCCCGAGC
rnacentral:lncRNA from 1 species